rnacentral:rRNA from 1 species
GAUGAACGCUGGCGGCGUGCCUAAUACAUGCGAGUCGAGCGAACAGACGAGGAGCUUGCUCCUCUGACGUUAGCGGCGGACGGGUGAGUAACACGUGGAUAACCUACCUAUAAGACUGGGAUAACUUCGGGAAACCGGAGCUAAUACCGGAUAAUAUAUUGAACCGCAUGGUUCAAUAGUGAAAGACGGUUUUGCUGUCACUUAUAGAUGGAUCCGCACCGCAUUAGCUAGUUGGUAAGGUAACGGCUUACCAAGGCAACGAUGCGUAGCCGACCUGAGAGGGUGAUCGGCCACACUGGAACUGAGACACGGUCCAGACUCCUACGGGAGGCAGCAGUAGGGAAUCUUCCGCAAUGGGCGAAAGCCUGACGGAGCAACGCCGCGUGAGUGAUGAAGGUCUUCGGAUCGUAAAACUCUGUUAUUAGGGAAGAACAAAUGUGUAAGUAACUAUGCACGUCUUGACGGUACCUAAUCAGAAAGCCACGGCUAACUACGUG